GUCAAGUAGUUUAGUGGUUAAAAUUCACCUUUUUCAAGGUAAAUAAGUGAGGUGUCCGGGGUUCGAAUCCCGGCCCCUGCA
rnacentral:tRNA from 1 species